rnacentral:rRNA from 1 species
GGACUACCCGGGUAUCUAAUCCUGUUCGCUCCCCACGCUUUCGCUCCUCAGCGUCAGUGCCGGCCCAGACCACCGCCUUCGCCACCGGUGUUCCUCCUGAUAUCUGCGCAUUUCACCGCUACACCAGGAAUUCCGUGGUCCCCUACCGGACUCUAGCCAUGGCAGUAUCGGGUGGCGUCUCCAGGUUAAGCCUGGAGGUUUCACACCCGACUUGCCAAGCCGCCUACGAGCUCUUUACGCCCAAUGAAUCCGGACAACGCUCGCCCCCUACGUAUUACCGCGGCGGCUGGCAC